rnacentral:rRNA from 1 species
UACGUAGGGGCCGAGCGUUGUCCGGAGUUAUUGGGCGUAAAGCGCGCGCAGGCGGCUUCGCGCGCCCGACGUGAAAGCCCCCGGCUUAACCGGGGAGAGUCGUUGGGGACGGCGGGGCUUGAGGGCGGGAGAGGUCGGUGGAAUUCCCGGUGUAGUGGUGAAAUGCGUAGAGAUCGGGAGGAACACCGGUGGCGAAGGCGGCAUCCUGGACCGAGAUUGACGCUGAGGCGCGAAAGCCAGGGGAGCAAACGGG